CGAGGUGUAGCUCACCUGGUAGAGCGCUUGUUUUGGGAGCAAGAGGCACGGGGUUCAAGUCCCCGCACUUCGACCA
rnacentral:tRNA from 1 species